UACUAGUUUUAAAUCGAGGUGGUGAGAGUUGGGUUGGUGGGGUGGUAUUAAUUAAUUAUCCACUCCCACUAGGAAAUUGUACAAAGAAAAAAAAAAACAUUAAAAAAAUGUACUAAUAGCAUUAAUCUUAUACUACUAGUUGUUUUGUUUUGGGCAUUGAAGAAGAAAGAAAGUAGUAUCGGUGAAAUGUGUUUCCCCUCCUCUCCCUCGCGUCCUGUGUCUCUUCCAGUUCCAGUUAAUAUGGAUCUCCCAAUUAUUUCUCCCGAACAGGAAGCCAUCCUCAACAACUCCCCUUUUCGAGAACCGCCCACCGCCGCCAACCUCACCCUUUCCCCGCCGGAAACCCCCCAAGUAUCUUCCGACCCCCCGCCGCCUCAGGGAGCUUCAUUUGUGGAAGCUGCAUAGCUAAGUUGAAAAUAGUGUGAACAAUCUCUAUGCUUUUUGUUAAUGUAGCUAAGUUGAUUCUAUUUUCUAUCUAGUUCUUGUACCAAAACUUGAAUCAAGAUAACAACUCACUUUGUGAAUGUUGUUGGUUAUCUUUUUUAACUAUUUGCUAGGGCAAACUGUGUUUUCAAGCCUAAUCAAUUAGGUACAUAGUCUUUAAUCUCAGUGUAAUGUAUGCAAGUACCAUGAUUUGUAUAUGGUUUAGGGGGCUUACUUAUGGUACUGUAAUUAGAAGUGUUUUGUAUAAUGAGUGCUUUAUAGUUGUUGCUGAUUACCUGUUGAAGUGACUUCCUGUUAAUUGCAAACAAGAAAAAUAGGGUAAAUGAACCCAGAAUUGAUUCA